GACGAACGCUGGCGGCGUGCUUAACACGUGCAAGUCGAACGAUGAAGCCGGAGCUUGCUCUGGUGAAUUAGUGGCGAACGGGUGAGUAACACGUGAGUAACCUGCCCUUGACUCUGGGAUAACUGCGGGAAACUGUAGCUAAUACCGGAUACGACCCUCGGAGGCAUCUCCUGGGGGUGGAAAGAAUUUCGGUCAAGGAUGGACUCGCGGCCUAGCAGCUAGUUGGUGAGGUAAAGGCUCACCAAGGCGACGACGGGUAGCCGGCCUGAGAGGGUGACCGGCCACACUGGGACUGAGACACGGCCCAGACUCCUACGGGAGGCAGCAGUGGGGAAUAUUGCACAAUGGGCGCAAGCCUGAUGCAGCAACGCCGCGUGAGGGAUGACGGCCUUCGGGUUGUAAACCUCUUUUAGCAGGGAAGAAGCGAAAGUGACGGUACCUGCAGAAAAAGCACCGGCUAACUACGUGCCAGCAGCCGCCGUAA
rnacentral:rRNA from 1 species